rnacentral:rRNA from 1 species
GAUGAACGCUAGCGGCGGGCUUAACACAUGCAAGUCGAACGGAAAGGCCCUGCAUUUGUGGGUUGCUCGAGUGGCGAACGGGUGCGUAACACGGGAGUAACCUGCCCUUGACUUUGGGAUAACUUCAGGAAACUGCGGCUAAUACACGAUAGGAGCUCCUGAUGCAUGGAGGGGGUUGGAAAGUGUCGGCGGUUGUGGAUGGGCUCGAGGGGGAUCAGUCUGUUGGUGGGGUUGGGGCUUACCAAGGCUUCGACGGGUAGCCGGCCUGAGAGGGUGACCGGCCACAUUGGGACUGAGAUACGGCCCAGACUCCUACGGGAGGCAGCAGUGGGGAAUAUUGCACAAUGGGCGGAAGCCUGAUGCAGCAACGCCGCGUGCGGGAUGACGGCCUUCGGGUUGUAGACCGCUUUCGCCUGUGACGAAGCGUGAGUGACGGUAAUGUGUAAAGAAGCACCGGCUAACUACGUG